AGAGGAUCAUCCUGAGUGUAACAGUCAUCGCAUGGCUUGCACUGGGUCCAUAGGAGAUCGCUUCCCGUGUCAGCGAUCGCCAUGAUCGGGAAGGGAGGAGUCCCCAGUGAUACAUUCAUGAGAUAUUCACCUCCAUCUGAGGUUAUCUCAGUUUGAGGUGAGUUAACUGAUGCAUCUUUUCCGUUGAAAUGGACAACACGGUUUACGGAUCGGUGAACCGCGUUUCUUAGACGCUGAGCAGAGGUUUCUGUCGGAUUGUAGAAAGGCGAUUUAGGAGAGUCACGGUGGAUCAGAUCCGCGCUGAAGCCAAGUUUUGUAUGAGCGUUUGCGUUUAGGAGAAAGGGUGAAGAGAGUACUGAUAGAGCCAAGAGAACUGAAAAGAAUAUAGAGGCCAUCGUCUUUGUAUUUGAAGUGAAAUAAUGAGUUCUUUUUUAUUUGUUGGCAAUCUAAUGUGUUGGUAUAUAUAAGGUUUGUGGGAUAGUGGUAAACUAAUUGCAACGCGCAUGCUGAGAUUUUUUUUUUUUAAAACUCUAAUCUACCAAAUUCAUUUCCAUUUGUGUUUAGAGAAUCUGAUAGAUCAUAAACUAUGAUAGAGGAUUUUUUCUCAUUAAUUUUAUUUAUUAGCCAAUCUACAGAUUCAGUGCCCAUUUGUGAUUUAUAUAGAUCAGAAACUAUUAUAGAAGAGAUUUUAUCAUUUUAAUGCACAUAUUUUAUAUCUUUCAUUCAUUCAUCUCAUACAGACUUGUUUCAUGUAUCUUUUAUUCUGUAUUUUCUUUAAAUGCUAACAUAUAUUCCUCCUCUUUAGAUCCUAAAUUGUUUUUGAAAACAGUCAAUAAAUUUAGACGGAAAUUUUCAUACAUUUGUGAUUAAGUGUUCUUAUUUGGAUUCAUGUAACAUUUCACCUAGUAUUAUUUUUUAAUUUUUCAUAUAAAAUAUCCAAAAUUUUAAUUCAAAUAUAUUUUACCUACAAGAUUAUCAAAAUAAAUAAACGAUUGAUUAUUAGUAUCUUACAGUUUACUUCUGAAACACACAUUUUUGAAAUGAAUUAUAUUGUUGAUUAUCUUUUCAUGAUUAAAAACAAUACAUUAAGCUAUAUAAUCUAAUACAAGUCAACUAGUCAACAAAGAAGUCAAGAUACAUUUUUACUCAUAUAAUCCUAAUAAUCUAUUGUAUAAAAAUGCAAACACUCUCCAACUUUAUACCAACUUGGCACUUAUAAGAUUGAUACAUACAAAAUAUUAUAUUUUGUAAGAAUUUGAAGUAGCAAAUCCAUUAAAAAAUUAAACCAAAGAUUUCAAAUCUGCAAGGUAGGUAAAUUAACAAAAACAAAGACAAUUUUACUGUUUAAAUUCAUAUUUUAAAAAAAAGUUCAAGCAUUUCCUGCAAAAAGAACUUCUCAAUGAUUUAUUUUGUAAUUUAAUUCGCAAUAUGGAUAACCCACAUGUCAAUUCAUGAAGUAGAAUUCAACCCGAACCCGCAAUAUAAGAUAUGGCUGAGAUGGAAAAUAUUUUUUGAUAGAAAGACAUAGAAACUGUUAACAUAUAUUAAUUAUUUAACAAAAAUCCAAAAUAAGUGUUUUAAUUGUUGAAAAAGGCUUGUUUUCAGUUUUUACUGUCACUAGAUCCUUUCUCCAUGCUACGCUCGGAUAAUAUAUUUAAAUUUGUUACAUUUAUCAUUUUUAUUUGUAUGUAAAUUUUUGUAUAUUAAAUUAUAUAUAACUAAUUUUUAAAUUUGAUUUUGUUUAGUUUGAAGUAAGUAUUUUUAUUAUAUGUAACACAAUUAACUAAUAAAAUAUGAAGAAUCAAGUUCGAGAUUUUAGAGUUACGUAAGAAAAAAUAUAUUUAUGUAUAGAACAUAAAUUGUCGUUCAAAAAAAAAGUAUAGAACAUAAAUUAUCUUAGUUUAAAAGAUCGGAAUCUCAUCUCGAAUAAAUUCACGAAAAGAAAAAGUACUCCAAUAACCUACUUAUAAUAUAAAACACCCUUUUCAAAAAAAAAAGCGUACUUAAUAAUAUUUAUUUACGUGUAAUAGUUGAAAACUGACAAUUGAAUAUCGAUCUAGAAUAUUAUUUUAAUAUAUCUAAUGGUAAAAUAUUAAUUGUAAUAAAAUUUUUUGAAUUUAGUAAUAUUGCAUGAAUUAGAAGUCUUUAAAAUCUAAAAUCUAUUUUAUUAACAUAAUAUAUGUUUUAUUCAUUUAUUAUUUUAACGUUACAAAAUAUUGCUUUAGUUUUAUUUUUUAUAUUAUUUUUUAAUAAUUUAUUUUCUUUUUAAGUAAUUUUAAAACUACCAAGAAUAUAAUAUAUUUAAAAAUUAUUUAUUUAAAUAUAUCCAAAUAUGAUGUCUCAUUUUUAUUUUUUAAAGAUAAGUAUGUAUUCCUAAAGGAUAAAGAAAAUCGGGUUUUGAAGCUGAUAUAAAUAUUGGUCUAAGGGUUUGUAAGAUGAUUUAUUCACACAAUAAUAAAAAACCCUAAACUAGUAUUUGCCUCAAUACAUUUUGUUCUCUAUUGUCUUCUUGCAUAAUUCGUGGCUGUUCACAACAAUGUUUUAGCCGUAAACUUGUGUCUUUCCACCCAAAGUAGGAGAGGUCUGCAUCUUAUAUGACAGUGGCUAUGCUUCUUUUGCUAUCUCCUUGCUUUUUAUUUCCCAGCAAAGAUGGGGAUUAAUACCGUUUAGAAAAAGAAUGUUAGAAAACAAAGUUUUCUUCAUCAAGUUAUUCCUAUUAGAUAAUAAGAUAAAAAAUGCAAUUAAGAAGAGAGCCCAUAUAUAUUAGCAUAUAAUGAAACAAAUUAAGGAUUCUACAUGAACAUAAUUAUGAAAUGGGAAAUUUAAAAGAACAAAUAUAGGCCAAAAUAAAUUCAGCCAUUAUUAUUGUUAUAAUAAAUUCUAGUAUAGUUUUAAGAAUAGAAAGAACCAGCUACAUUUUUGCACAAUCUGCUGGCUUGAAUGAGACCGUUUUAGAAACGGUGUCGUAACCAACAAGGAAGUUCAUCUGUGCUAUAUUCCCGUAAAUGGCCAACUGGUCGUCCCCACGGAAGGCGAAGCAAACCAAAUCCUCAGAGAUUUGUAUGAAGGCAUUGGAGGAGUCUAACUUCACAUCUGCUCCAUCGAAAUGCAUAGUAAUGACUGGAACGUUCAGCUUAGCGGUUGCGCUGUAACACAAACUCAACACGUUUUGUGGAUCGUUAGUUCUCUCAGCAUCGAUUGAGGAUGCAACCGCAUCUUCGAGUUCAGAGUAAAAGUCGGUUGAGAACAUGGUCAGAGUUGUGCCAGAGUCGAUGAUGAUGUUCCCCUUGCUGCUGCUUCCAUAAGAAUCUGAUACCGAUGGGUAUUUGAUAUUCUUGCUACCCACGCUAACGGAUUCUAGGGUUAGGUAAUAGAAGGUCGCUUGCGAUUUUGUGAUCAAUGGAGUUGAGACAGAUCCAUUUCCCGACACAACCGCAUUAGUUCCGAAGUUGAUCUUGCUUGUUUUAUCACUUUCUGAAGAUAGAGGGACCAAGCAGUAUGAGAAUUUGCCAUCGAUUGAGUCUCCGAGUUGCGAAAUGAGCGAAACCGAACCGCCACCAAGUCCAAUGAUUCCAGAGCCCUUCUUGCUAAAUGUUCCAGCGUUAUUGUGACCACAUCCAAUGACGAUAUUUUUGAGCUGCACGGGGCGGUUAUCAGUGGAGCCAAGCGUUACGGUAUCGGCGGCAACAUUACCCUUUGUGUAAGACUUGUCCCCGUAAGACAAAGUGUAAGAGCAAGUGUUGUUUUCUGUCGAACAAGUGGCUUGACUCUCAAGGGAAGUACAUUGGCUUGAGGAGCAAGAAACAUCUUUGUAUGUAGAAGACGCUUUAGGGUCAAAGAGAGGAUCAUCCUGAGUGUAACAGUCAUCGCAUGGCUUGCACUGGGUCCAUAGGAGAUCGCUUCCCGUGUCAGCGAUCGCCAUGAUCGGGAAGGGAGGAGUCCCCAGUGAUACAUUCAUGAGAUAUUCACCUCCAUCUGAGGUUAUCUCAGUUUGAGGUGAGUUAACUGAUGCAUCUUUUCCGUUGAAAUGGACAACACGGUUUACGGAUCGGUGAACCGCGUUUCUUAGACGCUGAGCAGAG
rnacentral:lncRNA from 1 species